GAUCGAAGGGCGCAUGGGGGAUGCCUUGGCUCUCGGAGGCGAGGAAGGACGUGACAAGCUGCGAUAAGCCACGGCGAGGGGCAAAUACCCAUUGACCCGUGGAUCUCCGAAUGGGGCAACCCGGCGGGAGCGAUCCCGUCACCCUGCAGAGCAGGGGGCGAACGUGGGGAACUGAAACAUCUAAGUACCCGCAGGAAGAGAAAGUAAGAACGAUUCCCCAAGUAGCGGCGAGCGAACGGGGAUGAGCCCAAACCGGCGGUGUCGCAAGGCAUGUGCCGGGGUUAUAGGACCGACAUAACGGACCAAGGAUUCUAGUGGAAGCGCAUGGAGCGGCGCGCCACAGCGGGUGAGAGCCCCUUACACGAAAGGAUCCGCGGAACAGGUCGGCACCUGAGUAGGCCGGGACACGAGAAAUCCCGGUUGAAUUGUCGGGGACCAUCCCGAAAGGCUAAAUACUACCGAGAGACCGAUAGCGAACGAGUACCGUGAGGGAAAGGUGAAAAGCACCUCGGACAGAGGAGUGAAA
rnacentral:rRNA from 1 species